rnacentral:rRNA from 1 species
AAGUGUUAGGGGGUUUCCGCCCCUUAGUGCUGCAGCUAACGCAUUAAGCACUCCGCCUGGGGAGUACGGUCGCAAGACUGAAACUCAAAGGAAUUGACGGGGGCCCGCACAAGCGGUGGAGCAUGUGGUUUAAUUGGAAGCAACGCGAAGAACCUUACCAGGUCUUGACAUCUUUUGACAACCCUAGAGAUAGGGCUUUCCCUUCGGGGACAGAGUGACAGGUGGUGCAUGGUUGUCGUCAGCUCGUGUCGUGAGAUGUUGGGUUAAGUCCCGCAACGAGCGCAACCCUUGAUCUUAGUUGCCAGCAUUCAGUUGGGCACUUUAAGGUGACUGCCGGUGACAAACCGGAGGAAGGUGGGGAGGACGUCAAAUCAUCAUGCCCCUUAUGACCUGGGCUACACACGUGCUACAAUGGACAGAACAAAGGGCUGCGAGACCGCAAGGUUUAGCCAAUCCCACAAAUCUGUUCUCAGUUCGGAUCGCAGUCUGCAACUCGACUGCGUGAAGCUGGAAUCGCUAGUAAUCGCGGAUCAGCAUGCCGCGGUGAAUACGUUCCCGGGCCUUGUACACACCGCCCGUCACACCACGAGAGUUUGCAACACCCGAAGUCGGUGAGGUAACCUU